rnacentral:rRNA from 1 species
UAGAUGAUGUCGAGUGGCGGACGGGUGAGUAAUGCUUGGGAACUUGCCUUUGCGAGGGGGAUAACAGUUGGAAACGACUGCUAAUACCGCAUAAUGUCUUCGGACCAAACGGGGCUUCGGCUCCGGCGCAAAGAGAGGCCCAAGUGAGAUUAGCUAGUUGGUGAGGUAAAGGCUCACCAAGGCAACGAUCUCUAGCUGUUCUGAGAGGAAGAUCAGCCACACUGGGACUGAGACACGGCCCAGACUCCUACGGGAGGCAGCAGUGGGGAAUAUUGCACAAUGGGGGAAACCCUGAUGCAGCCAUGCCGCGUGUGUGAAGAAGGCCUUCGGGUUGUAAAGCACUUUCAGUUGUGAGGAAAAGUUAGUAGUUAAUACCUGCUAGCCGUGACGUUAACAACAGAAGAAGCACCGGCUAACUCCGUGCCAGCAGCCGCGGUAAUACGGAGGGUGCGAGCGUUAAUCGGAAUUACUGGGCGUAAAGCGCACGCAGGCGGUUUGUUAAGCUAGAUGUGAAAGCCCCGGGCUCAACCUGGGACGGUCAUUUAGAACUGGCAGACUAGAGUCUUGGAGAGGGGAGUGGAAUUCCAGGUGUAGCGGUGAAAUGCGUAGAUAUCUGGAGGAACAUCAGUGGCGAAGGCGACUCCCUGGCCAAAGACUGACGCUCAUGUGCGAAAGUGUGGGUAGCGAACAGGAUUAGAUACCCUGGU